rnacentral:siRNA from 1 species
UAUUAUUAUGUAGUAGUCUCGU